AAAAAGCCUCUAGCGAGCUUCGAGCGGCCCGUACCCCAAACCGACACAGGUGGUCAGGUAGAGAAUACCGAGGCGAUCGGGCGAACUAUGGUUAAGGAACUCGGCAAAUUACCCCCGUAACUUCGGGAGAAGGGGGGCCACAGACCGUCAUACCCCUUGCGGGUGGCAGCGGUAGGUGGCCGCAGAGACCAGGGGGAAGCGACUGUUUACUAAAAACACAGGUCCGUGCGAAGUCGUAAGACGAUGUAUACGGACUGACGCCUGCCCGGUGCUGGAACGUUAAGGGGACCGGUUAGUCCGCAAGGGCGAGGCUGAGAACUUAAGCGCCAGUAAACGGCGGUGGUAACUAUAACCAUCCUAAGGUAGCGAAAUUCCUUGUCGGGUAAGUUCCGACCUGCACGAAUGGCGUAACGACUUCCCUACUGUCUCAACCAUAGGCCCGGCGAAAUUGCACUACGAGUAAAGAUGCUCGUUACGCGCGGAAGGACGGAAAGACCCCGGGACCUUCACUAUAGCUUGACAUUGGUACUCGAAUUGAAUUGUGUAGGAUAGGUGGGAGACUUUGAAGCCAGGACGCCAGUUCGGGUGGAGUCAAACUUGAAAUACCACUCUGUUGAAUUUGGGUAUCUAACUUCGGACCGUGAUCCGGUUCAGGGACAGUGUCUGGUGGGUAGUUUAACUGGGGCGGUUGCCUCCUAAAAUGUAACGGAGGCGCCCAAAGGUUCCCUCAGCCUGGUUGGCAAUCAGGUGUUGAGUGCAAGUGCACAAGGGAGCUUGACUGUGAGACUGACAGGUCGAGCAGGGACGAAAGUCGGGACUAGUGAUCCGGCACCUGCGAGUGGAAGCGGUGUCGCUCAACGGAUAAAAGGUACCCCGGGGAUAACAGGCUGAUCUUCCCCAAGAGUCCAUAUCGACGGGAUGGUUUGGCACCUCGAUGUCGGCUCGUCGCAUCCUGGGGCUGGAGUAGGUCCCAAGGGUUGGGCUGUUCGCCCAUUAAAGCGGCACGCGAGCUGGGUUUAGAACGUCUUGAGACAGUUCGGUCCCUAUCCUCCGCGCGCGCAGGAGACUUGAGAAGGGCUGUCCCUAGUACGAGAGGACCGGGACGGACGAACCUCUGGUGUGCCAGUUGUCAUGCCAAUGGCACGGCUGGUUAGCUACGUUCGGAAGGGAUAACCGCUGAAAGCAUCUAAGCGGGAAGCCUGCUUCAAGAUGAGGUCUCCCACCCCUUGAGGGUUAAGGCCCCCAGCUAGACCACUGGGUUGAUAGGCCAGAAGUGUAAGCCUGGUAACAGGUUCAGCCGACUGGUACUAAUAGGCCGAGGACUUAACU
rnacentral:rRNA from 1 species